AACGCACCUUGCGCCUUUUGGUAUUCCGAAAGGCAUGCCUGUUUGAGUGUCAUGUAGACUCAACUCUCGAGAGGUUUCUUGCGAGUUGGAUUUGGGUGUUGCCAUUUGGCUCGCCUUAAAAGUGUUAGUGGUUUAAGCACUUGAUCGGACGUGAUAAGUUUCGUCCGGCCGUGUGUUGUCGACCGCUCCUAAACCGCCUUGCGGCGCUCUUUGACUCUGACCUCAAAUCAGGUAGGACUACCCGCUGAACUUAA
rnacentral:misc_RNA from 1 species